rnacentral:rRNA from 1 species
CCUACGUGGUGCAGCAGUGGGGAAUAUUGCGCAAUGGGCGAAAGCCUGACGCAGCAACGCCGCGUGAGGGAUGAAGGUCUUCGGAUCGUAAACCUCUGUCAGCAGGGAAGAACGGUCACUGUGCUAAUCAGCAGUGAAUUGACGGUACCUGCAAAGGAAGCACCGGCUAACUCCGUGCCAGCAGCCGCGGUAAUACGGAGGGUGCGAGCGUUAAUCGGAAUUACUGGGCGUAAAGCGCUCGUAGGCGGUAUGUCAAGUCAAGGGUGAAAUCCCCGCGCUCAACGUGGGAACUGCCUUUGAAACUGGCAAACUGGAGUGUGUGAGAGGAUAGGGGAAUUCCAGGUGUAGGAGUGAAAUCCGUAGAUAUCUGGAGGAACAUCAGUGGCGAAGGCGACUAUCUGGCACAUAACUGACGCUGAGGAGCGAAAGCGUGGGUAGCAAACAGGAUUAGAUACCCCUGUAGUC